rfam:Capsicum annuum cultivar Zunla-1 chromosome 5, whole genome shotgun sequence
GACUCUCACCAAUGGAUAUAUUGGCUCUUAUAUCAAUGAAUAACAUAGCAAAAUGUGAUACUUAGUAUAAAUUUUUGAAUCCAGAGAACCAACGAGUCUUUGGAUAAAGUUGAGCUCGAAGCCAUUAGGACGAGGGGAUGUCUUCUUGGGUAUCA